rnacentral:lncRNA from 1 species
GAGGCAUGACAGAUGGAGUCACAGAGACAGCAGCGGUAGCAGCAGCUGGAUCAGCGAUGGACACAGCUGCUGAUGACAGAACCUACAAAAGAGGUGUUUGGAUGUAAGAUGAGAUCGUCAGCUAUAAUGGAGGUGGUGGCAGUCUCCCGAAUAGCUCCUGAGUUGAGAUAUACUGCGAUGGCGAGGAGAUCUGCAUAGUUGGCUACUCUUCAUAUUGAUCAGGUCGUGCAGAGGAUUAGAGCUCGAUGCAAAGCGGUGCUCAUCAAGGCUUUGGGGGCAUCAGGAUGGAGAUUAUAAGAUUUUAUGGUGCCCCCAUAGUCUUGGAGGUGACCACAAGUGGAGUCAGGUCGAUAGGCUCUAGGUUCGCUAUGACGGGAACAGUCAUAGGCUAGGGUGGAGGUUCGACCCUCCAUGGGAUUUGAUGGAGGCCCUCCAUGGGAUGUGAUGGAGGUCGGCUGCAGCAUUUGCAAGGCCUAG